rnacentral:tRNA from 1 species
GGGCCCGUAGCUCAGCUGGUAGAGCAACUGACUUUUAAUCAGUAGGUCUCAGGUUCGAACCCUGACGGGCUCACCA